rnacentral:rRNA from 1 species
GGAGGCCACUGCUAUGGGAGUCCGACUAAGCCAUGCGAGUCUUGGGGGGCUUUGCCCACCGGCGGACGGCUCAGUAACACGUGGACAACCUACCCUCGGGAGGGGGAUAACCCUGGGAAACUGGGGCUAAACCCCCAUAGGGCAUAGGUGCUGGAAGGCCCUAUGCCCGAAAUUCCGAAAGGAGCCCGAGGAUGGGUCUGCGGCCUAUCAGGUUGUAGUGGGGGUAACGGCCCCACUAGCCUACGACGGGUACGGGCCCUGGGAGGGGGAGCCCGGAGAUGGACUCUGAGACAAGAGUCCAGGCCCUACGGGGCGCAGCAGGCGCGAAACCUCCGCAAUGCGGGAAACCGCGACGGGGGGACUCCCAGUGCCUACGCUAUGCGUAGGCUGUUCCCGAGCCUAAAAAGCUCGGGGAGUAAGGGCUGGGCAAGACGGGUGCCAGCCGCCGCGGUAAUACCCGCAGCCCGAGUGGUGGCCACUUUUAUUGGGCCUAAAGCGUCCGUAGCCGGCCCGGUAAAUGCUUGGGUAAAUCGCCUGGCCUAACCAGACGUAUUCCGGGCAGACUGCCGGGCUAGGGACCGGAGGAGGGAGAGGGUACUCCAGGGGUAGGGGUGAAAUCCUAUAAUCCCGGGAGGACCACCAGUGGCGAAGGCUGCCGGCUGGAACGCGCCCGACGGUGAGGGACGAAAGCCGGGGGAGCGAACCGGAUUAGAUACCCGGGUAGUCCCGGCCGUAAACGAUGCGGGCUAGGUGUUGGGACGGCUACGAGCCGUCCCAGUGCCGCAGGGAAGCCGUUAAGCCCGCCGCCUGGGGAGUACGGCCGCAAGGCUGAAACUUAA